UGGGGAAUAUUGGACAAUGGGCGCAAGCCUGAUCCAGCCAUGCUGCGUGAGUGAUGUAGGCCCUAGGGUUGUAAAGCUCUUUCACCGGUGAAGAUAAUGCAGGUAACCGGAGAAGAAGCCCCGGCUAACUUUGUGCCAGCAGCCGCGGUUAUACGAAGGGGGUUAGCGUUGUUCGGAUUUACUGGGCGUAAAGCGCACGUAGGCGGACUUUUAAUUCUGGGGUGAAAUCCCGGGGCUCAACCCCCGAACUGACUUGGUUACUGGAAGUGUUGAGUAUAGUAGAGGUUAGCGGAAUUCUGAGUGUAAAGGUUAAAUUCGUAGAUAUUCGGAGGAACACCAGUGGCGAAGGCGGCUCACUGGACCAUUACUGACGCUGAGGUGCGAAAGCGUAGGGAGCAAACAGG
rnacentral:rRNA from 1 species